AAGUCGAGCGAGAAAGUAUCUUCGGAUAUGAGUAGAGCGGCGGACGGGUGAGUAACGCGUAGGAAUCUACCUAGUAGAAGGGGAUAGCCCGGGGAAACUCGGAUUAAUACCGUAUACCUCCUUUGGGAGAAAGAGGGCCUCUCUUGAUGCUCUCGCUAUUAGAUGAGCCUGCGUAAGAUUAGCUUGUUGGUAAGGUAAUGGCUUACCAAGGCAACGAUCUUUAGCUGGUCUGAGAGGACGAUCAGCCACAUUGGGACUGAGACACGGCCCAGACUCCUACGGGAGGCAGCAGUGGGGAAUAUUGGACAAUGGGCGCAAGCCUGAUCCAGCCAUACCGCGUGUGUGAAGAAGGCCUUCGGGUUGUAAAGCACUUUAAGCAGGGAGAAAAAGUUAUAAGUUAAUACCUUAUAACCGUGAUGUUACCUGCAGAAUAAGCACCGGCUAAUUCCGUGCCAGCAGCCGCGGUAAUACGGAAGGUGCAAGCGUUAAUCGGAAUUACUGGGCGUAAAGCGCGCGUAGGUGGUUUGUUAAGUUGGAUGUGAAAGCCCUGGGCUCAACCUAGGAACUGCAUCCAAAACUAACUCACUAGUGUACGAUAGAGGGAGGUAGAAUUCAUAGUGUAGCGGUGGAAUGCGUAGAUAUUAUGAAGAAUACCAGUGGCGAAGCGGCCUCCUGGAUCUGUACUGACACUGAGGUGCGAAAGCGUGGGUAGCGAACAGGAUUAGAUACCCUGGUAGUCCACGCCGUAAACGAUGACAACUAGCUGUUGGGAGAAAAUGUCUUUCAGUGGCGCAGCUAACGUUUUAAGUUGUCCGCCUGGGG
rnacentral:rRNA from 1 species